GAUGAAGAACGUAGCGAAAUGCGAUAAGUAAUGUGAAUUGCAGAAUUCAGUGAAUCAUCGAAUCUUUGAACGCACAUUGCGCCCGCCAGUAUUCUGGCGGGCAUGCCUGUCUGAGCGUCAUUUCAACCCUCAAGCCCCCGGGUUUGGUGUUGGGGAUCGGCUCUGCCCUUCUGGGCGGUGCCGCCCCCGAAAUACAUUGGCGGUCUCGCUGCAGCCUCCAUUGCGUAGUAGCUAACACCUCGCAACUGGAACGCGGCGCGGCCAUGCCGUAAAACCCCAACUUCUGAAUGUUGACCUCGGAUCAGGUAGGAAUACCCGCUGAACUUAAGCAUAUCAAUAAGCGGAGGA
rnacentral:misc_RNA from 1 species